ensembl:lncRNA
AUGGGAAUUAAUCUGCAGUGGACAUGUUGCAGGGCCAGUAAAGUUUUUUUUCUUUUCUCCUCUUUUUCUAGUGGUUACAGAGAAAGAGUUCGACGCAUGGAAGAGAGGAGAAACAUGUCAGUCAGCGGCGAAAUUCCAACACCUCACGAGGAGGGGGAAAGAGAAAGGAGGAGAGAGAAAGAACAGGGAGAGGGGAGAAAGACGUCACCACGCAAUCUGCUCCCUCAGCACAGCUCCUCAGAUGUGGUCUGGCACCUAGUUCACAAAGCCAACCAGAUCCACACAUUGACUUCAUAUAUCUCUGGAAAGGGUAACCGCAGCCCGGCGCUGGGCAAUUUCCCCUCAACAUGCAAAACUGUGAGGACAAAAUGUGGGACCUGCCAUUCUCCAUGCAUAUUAAAGACACUUGUCAUCAAGACGUCACCCAGGAGCUAUGAGAACAAGAGGUACAGUUCCUCUGAGACAGACUCACUCACCAUCAAAACCAUGAAAUUAGACCCAGGAAAAUAUCCUUGUGAUGGGAAAAAUGCUACACUUUAGUGCAUUUUGCAUAUAAAAAAAAGGGAAAAAAACCUGAAACGGAUGCAUGUAAAUUGCCCGUGCCACAAAGACAAAUUGGUAAUUCAGGUUUGGAAUGAAAAUGACACUAAAGUGCAAAAAGGAAAUGGUGCAGCAUGAAAGGAAUAAGGGUUGUUAAAAUGUCACAUUUGAGAUUCUGUGCCUUUAGGAAUCGAGAUGUAUUGUUAGGGGAAAUGUGAUAAACACGAGCCAAAUGUACGGGCGAGCAAAUAGGGCUCCGUGUAUGCCGCGUUGUCUUAGUCAACGUGCUAAGAGCGACGCCCACAGAGCAGACACAAUCUGACGAAUGUACAAUUUGUAGUUAUAUACUUCUUUCGCACCUUGGUCGUAGGGACGCAUACGUUUUCUCCAUAAUGAAAAAAAAAAACGGAACGUGUACCCACACAAUGACAUUCAAAAAAGCGUUAUUCUGAGUAAAUGAAAAAAACAAAUGCUGAUGUGUUCAAAGUGUUUACAGAUGUACUUUUGCUCGGAGGUGGCACGCGGCCAUCUUCAAAAUCCACAGCUGAAAUAAAUAUAUUUCAUAUAAUUUGAUUUUGUUAAUUCCACGUCCAGCACUGCGGAUCAUUUUUUCAGCCACUUGAAACACUCUUCACCCGAUUAACACUAGGACCGGUGGCGGUGAACAAAACAACAGACUUUACUUUGUUGCCCGUAUUCAGUGUAAAUACUGUAAGGAAGGCGGAUCCUUUCCCCCCACAUAGGUGCUGGUGACACAAGCCCCCCUCGGUUUGUCCCUGGGCUCCUCGGGGCUCAAGACCAGUGCCCUCCAGGAUGACAAAUGGCCUUAAUGAAAUUGGACAACUCAGCAUACAUGCAUAAGAGGAUGUUAAAUAUUGAUAGUGAAGAUCAACGGUAGCGGUGCAUAUUCCAGUCUUUAAUAUUUUAAGUGUCAGACAGGCCUAUUGUCUAUCUAUGGGGGGGGUAAAUCACUGUCUGUGUCCCCCCCCCAGUUCUCUUUGAGACACAUAUGAUGGCCGGGGCAGCGUUCACUCAGCCACGGAUGAGAGCACUGGGCCCUGCACUUUGCAUAUAUGCUCAACAAAAGCGAGCUGGGGGUGGGGGUCAUCUUUUCAUAAAUUUUCAUUCUGAUCAAAUGGGAUUAUGCAUUUGAAAAAAACCUCACAUUCAAGCAAACAAAUGAAAACCAUAUAUUUAUUCACAGUUAAGGCAGCAACAAUGAAAAGAGACCCCCUGUCCAUGUAAGUAAUCUCCAAUCUGUCUUUUUUGUAUUUUCUUUUAAUUCAUUCAAUCCAAGUUGAGGCUUUGAUUUCAUCCACCUUUAUCUUUCACUUCUGUUAUCUUACUCCAAGUUAGACUAACAUAUACAUCAACGUAUAAUUUUUUAUAAUCACAGCAAUUUUUUUUUAUAAUGUAGUUCACUUAAAGUAAUUUGAAUAUCUAUAUGUCCCCACUAGAAAUUCUCUGUUUAAAAAUAAGCUUGAGUUCAGACAGUGUGAUGUGAA